rnacentral:lncRNA from 1 species
AAGUUAGGGAAGCCUCACAUAUCGAUUUUGUCCACGAGAAACGUCAUGUGUUCGUUUCUCUGGAGACCCCCCCUCCCACCCCCCUUAGAAACGUCACACAUAGGUUAUCGAUAUUUUGUUCUUAUAGUACACACAAGGUAAUUUUCUACUAUUUUUUUCGGUCGGCUAUUGGCGAUGCUUCCGCGAGGAAUAUGUCAUCUUCUGCUGACAUACUCUUUUUUAUUAAUAUACUGAGUAUGAACUUCAAAAUUUCCAACGUUUCUCAAAACAACUUUUUUUGCAUGAAAUAUUGAUCAUUUUAGCGCGUUUUUUUUUAAAUUUGAGUGUUUUCAAUGCAAGGAAGGC